ncrna:unclassified sequences AdoCbl variant RNA
GUACUGAAUAAGUGAGUGGGGAAUAAUGUGAAAAUCAUUAACUGUUCCUGCAACGGUAAGGAAAAAAUCUAAGUCCGAGCGCCACCCAGUAU